UGGCUGUAGGCUCCGCGGGGGCGGGGAGUUCCGAGCGGAGCCGAGUGGAGCCGAGCGCCCGAGGCCGGGAAAGUAGGGGGCGCGCGGAGGAGGGCCGGAAAGAAGGGGAGGAACCCCAGUGAGGACAAAGUGGCCCGCGCGGAGCUCCUGCACCCUCUCCUGCCUCCUCCUCAAUGUUUUGACUUUAUGGAAGACAAAGGGACCUCCAAAUAACAGGAAUGGCAGAGAAUAAGCAGUCACUCUGUCGGUCUAAGCCAGCAUGACAAGGAGCCCCUGUAAGGAGAGCCAAACCUUAAAGAGAACAUGGCUUGGUGAGCAGCAGAGAAGUAAGUUCCUGGUGUGCUACAUUAGUGGAAGUUGCUGGAAAUCAUCCCCUGGGAUUGGCUGGAGAUUUGCCUUGUGAAUAUGGAGCAGCUGUUGGUAGGACAGGCCUCAUUGGAAUGAGUCUUUUGGUUAUGAGAUGACGCCAAGCAGCUGGUUGCUCAUGGUGUUGCUUCUGAGCAUUGAAGGGAGAAGCAGCCAUCACUGAAGAGCGGGGCUGGAGCAGCCGCAUGGACUGCUUACCAAAGAAGUUCUCUCAACCACGAGGCAGGCUCUGGAGAGGCUGUCCACAUCCAGGAACUUGGCACCAGAGAAACCACCUUUGCUUCGGGAUCCAGGGAGCUAGAAAGUGAGCAAAGGAGACAGUGCCCUCUACUGUCAAAGCUAAACAUGUCCCUUCCCAUGUAUCGGACAAGCCGACUUCAGACCUGAGAUUCAAACAUGUGAUCGAUGGUGUAUUUUUCAGUCAGAAAAUUUGAAAACGGUGCACCUCACAAUCCCUGUGUAGUGAGACUUUCAGACAGCACAGGGCUGCUGCACAUUGGAAUCCAUGAGCUAGCCCAAGAACAUCUGCACACCCAAGGAAAAUGCGUGGCCCCAAAGCAUGCAGCGAUCAAAAUUAAAGUGAACUGAAUUUUAAUUGACUUCUCAAGCUAUAAAGAAUAGAAAAGAAAGUAUAAACAAAAUAAUAAAGACAAAAAGGGAAGGUAAAAGUGGAGAACUGAAAAAAACCCAGCGGACCAAAAUAAAUCAAAAUUCUGGUUCUUUGAAUAUCAUAAAAUAGACAAUCUACUAGAUAAUUCAACUUUAAAAGUGUGCAUGUGGUGGAGGAUAAAGUACAAAUAUAUGGAGUAGGAAAUGUCCAGGGAAGAAGCUCUUAUUGUUGAAGAAGCCAAAAAGGUGACUUCAUUACACACCGACUUUGUCUUGGUCCAUUUGGAUAUUGUAACAAAAUACUGAACCUGGAGAGUUUA